rnacentral:lncRNA from 1 species
CGUGUAUAAAAACGACGGGAAGGAGAGGGCGGGUUCCUCGUGCCAAUCACCCUCCUUCCAGACUCUCACAAGCUCACCGCACUCGGCCUUCGCCUCUCUGGCCUCCACUGACAUCUGCGCCGAUAGCGUCGCUACGUUCUUCGCCGUUCAGCAAUCAUCAGCACCCGGCCGGUGGGCAUGGCUCUGGGAGCGGAGAUGGCGUGGCCGUUCCCGGCCGCGGGCAGCGGCGACGACGAGGUCUCGGCGGCCUGGGCGGCGACGGUGUUCCUCGCCGCGGAGAUGACGGACCGGCCGGUGGACCCGGUGAUUUGGGGCGACGAGAAGCGGAUGAAGCGGGAGCUCGUGGCGUGGGCCAAGGCCGUCGCGUCCAUGGCGGCAGCCGGCAAUAACGCCUCCUCCUCCACGGCUCGACGCCAUCGUCGCCGUAGCCGUCCAUGAGAUCGACGUGUAGAUAGAUCGAUCAAUGGUUACCGGAAUCUUCACUUUAGAUACCAGUGAGCUUAAAAACUAUGCAGAGCACAGAUCGAGCAGGAAAACUGCCGAUUCUGGUGGCCAGUCUCCAGAGAAAAACUACUUCAGGAAGAUGCAUAGUAUCUAGCAUGACGGGCAUACUUUGUCCACUGGUGGGACAACAGUUUCCCUGCUUGGAUACACAAUUCUUCUUCCCCUUCAAUUCAUUUGACAACAUCUCUCGUCAUAGUUGUUGUCCAUAUGCUGAUUCUCGGAGGAAAGGACUUCUUGAUGUACCCGUAUUAUAUAGGAUGCUAUAAUAGCAAAUGUACAAUGUAAUUUUGCUCCUCAACAGUUGUACAUACACUGUUAUUAAAAUGAUUGAGUAACAUUGAAGAAACAUACAUGACGCAUCCAAACUAACAUUUUGCAAUCUAUUAUAUAUCAUAUCAUUAACAUCGGGUAAGCGCUCCUCUUCAUAUUUCCAUGGUUUACAGACAAAGUGUAAAUACUACAAAAAAUGAAAGGCUAUCUCAGAAUUUGUAUUUUCUGGAACACAAUGGAGAGCUACAUGCCGCUUCUUUUUAAUGCUACCUAGAAGGAUAGAAAAGGACCUUCCAUUGCAGUAACUCAUCAACUCUUGUGGUCUAUGAAUCGCAGAACAUGAUGAUAGCAACACCUCAAGAGGUGCUACAUAAAUUCCUUUGUUUUGUCUUUUUCCAAAAUUAAGAGAAAAAUAAUUAAAUUGAAAAAAAUCUGUCAUGAUAAGUGACAUUAUUUGCUAGCAACCACAUCAAGAGGGGUUACCUAAAGGGGGAAAAAGGAAAGGUAUUAAGACCACCGUAUCCCAACUAAAGAAUUUGACGCCGAGCAUAGCUCGGUUGGCAAAAUACACCAAGGAUGGUGCCACCAGCCGGGGCUCUAACCCCACUACCCCAGCACCGGCAAGCCUCCCAUGAAGUGAGUCAAGGUGACUCUUUCAAAAAAAAUCCAUGUCGCCAUUAGCCGUUGAUUCGCUUGCGAUCGAGUGAGUGAUGAUUGCUGGUGCAACAGUAGCACUCUUCACCCUAGGACCACACUGCAACACAGAUCACUCCACCGCCCAUCAUGACUCGAUCCAUCGACGUCGCUGGCUUUGUCACGGCGUAAGUUACCACACCAACAGCUGAAAUAUCAAAUUGAUUGACAUUGAGUGAUAGGUCGUUGCUAUUCAACUGGUCUCUUGCAAUUUUUGCACAUCGGAGGCAUCAUUGUAGUUUUGUUGUCGUGACGCGACAUGGAAUGAAAGAUGAGCUUUAGCUCGAACGCGACAAAGAUAUUUGCUCAUAUGGUAAGUACAAACUAUUGAAUAUGAUCAAUAAUAAUCUGGCUGGCAGGCUAGCGGUUCUUUUAUACAAUCUUGUUAUCACUAAUUGGAGACUCUCUCGUUUGUAUGUUAAUACUCACAAGAUGCAUUAGAAACAAAAUGUAAAUCUUAGUAACUCCCACAAAAAUAGAAAUAUUAUGACAUUAAUUUGGCAGAUUCUAAUAAUCAUGAUAACAAUAGCUAUCUCAAAAAAGGGAAAAAUCACUUAUUCCAUUAUGGAAAAAAAUCUAAACUAACACUCUUAUCUUCAUCUAAAUUACCCAGCUAUAUCAUUACAAAAAGUAAUAUGAAGUGGUGUUCUGAAUUUGCAUCUAAAUUACCCACACAUGCAACUAUUAAAAAUAACAUAAAGUAACCGCUAAAUGUGCAUCUAAAUCACCUACAUCUGUUAUUAUAAAAAAUUAUAAAAAUACACAAAUAUAUAUUCUGUCAUUGUUAAUAUAGAAAAAUACUAACUCACAGUAUGCAUGUGUUGUCAUCAUAUUGACCAUGUAUAUAUGUAUAUAAUAAGGAGUGAGAAUAAUGAUUUCCAUGUUACAUAGCUCAAACUAAAAGUUAUAUAUAUAUAUAUAGAAUUGCCAAACACAUAUGGAGGUAAAAUGCAAAGUGAAAAGAAAAUAUGAACCGGGAGAAAAGACAAAUGGAGUAGUUGUUAACGAAAAUCUAUCACAAUAGGAUGAAAAUAAGUACUUAUCUACUAUAUGAGUAUUAUGUUAGAAAAUUUAACAAAUUAUAAAAAGAGGAAGGUAAGCAAUAACUUUGAUUAUUAACUACGAGCCCUAAUUUUUUUAUAUAUUUAUGAUACUUAUGUCUUUUAAAAUUGCUAGCCCAUGCGAUAGUUGAUACUCUCAUUUGAGACACUACCGCCUCCUCAUCAAGAUCAAGAAGCAACACCCGGAGCUGCAUGCGAUGGCUCUAAAGAAGCUAGAAUCUUGCUAUCAUGCACAUGUUGUGAAAAGAAAGGAGCAAAGAUUUUGUCACCACCAUAAACUGAUCUCCAUCUCAGGGUCUUCCAUCAUAAAGCAUGCAGCACUGUCUGAUGACAUUAGCAAUUAGCCACUAACAGUGCCGGGCCAGCACCAUGCAAAUUGUAACCUACCCCUUUCACGGUUUAGUCCAUCCAUCCCCCUCUUGACAUGAAUUAACCACGCUGAAAGCAAAGACCCCGAGCAGAUCCACAAGUCCACAACUCCAUCCACAAGUCACCAGUGCGCGCGGGCAUGCGUGGUCCCGCCCGCGGCGUCGUGGAUCUAAAUUUCGUUCCUCUCCGCUGCGCUCGCGAGGUCAUUAGGCCAACUAGCUAGUGCACGUCGCGUACCGCGCACCACACGCAACGUCAACGGCGUGCACGAAGACAUGACGAUGUCAGCGUUUAGCACGCCGCGGCCAGCUCGCAGGAGACGCAGGCACGUACUGUACAGUGAAAAACACACACGUCGCUCGCCACACGACACUGUAUCCAUCCACACUGAUCCAUUUUUUUUAAACGAGCUGGCAGGAGAGCUGCCACUUUACUGUAUCCAUCCACACUGAUCCAUUUUUUUUAAACGAGCUGGCAGGAGAGCUGCCACUUUAUUAAUAAAGGGGAAUGCCCGAAAAGCGAAACAGACUAGAAAACUUUACAUGCUGCACACUGCAAGCUUAGCUCGCGGACCGAAGAGAUAAAAAGAACAGACACCCCUAUAUACACUCAACUGCGCCUUGCGGCGUCAAGAAACCGCUCCAGGUGCAUAGCACCUGCCGCCACCCAUGUGGUUGCCUCGUCCCUUAUCCGAGCCACUAAUCGGGGGAUGGAUUGUUCCUGAUGAUGGAAAACCCGCGCAUUGCGCUCUUUCCAAACCUCCCACAGGACUAAGAUGAUGAGAGAUCUCAAGCCUUUUUUGUCAGCGACCUGCGCUCCUGCUAAUGCCGUCCACCAGUCAUGCAGAGCGUCAUGUGGAGUCCAGCAUUCCGGGUCAAUGGCCGGGCACCUCGUCCACGCGCUUAGUUGAGCCCAGACGUUCCUUGUGUAAUUGCAUGCGGUGAACAUGUGUAGCCCCGUCUCUUGAGUUGCUUCACAGAGAGCACAAGUUGGGUUGCUCGGCCAUCCCCGACGUUGCAACCGGUCCGCUGUCCAAAUUCUGUCCUGAAUCACCAGCCAGCUGAAGAACUUACACUUUGGGGGCGCCCACGGCUUCCAGAUGAUGGCUUCGAAGUUGGUGUUUGUGGACCCGAAGAACUGUGCUCGGUAUGCUGAAUUCGUGUUAUAGUGACCGUCGGCCGUCAGUUUCCAUCAAAUGGUGUCCGGGACCCCUAGUCGAAGUUGCAGACGGCUCGCCGCAUUCCAGAGUUUCUGCAGCUCAAUGAAGUGUGUGACCGAGAAGCUCUGGUGCUGGAGGUCAAUAUCUGUGACCCAAGCAUUGUCUAUGAUGGCUUCGCGCAGCGAUCUGUUCUUCCUUUUUGAAAUGCUGAAGAGGUUGGGCGCCAUGUCUCGGGGCCUUUGGCCAUCAAUCCAGCCACUGUCCCAAAAUGAAAUUUUGUUGCCAUCACCGAUUGUUAUAGUGGUGGCUGCCGCGAAUAGCUUACGGUCAGCCUGUGUGCAGGGGACAUCGCAAUGAUCCCAUAGAGCGCUCUCAUUCAUCCAUUGUUGCCAUAGCCAACGCAGACGUAACGCUCUGGAGAAUUUGCCCAGGUGUAGAAUCCCUAGACUGCCCCCUUUCUUGUGUCUGGCAGACCGCGUCCAAUUCACCUUACAUUUCCCACCAGUGACAUUCUCAUUUCCGGCCCAAAUAAACUGCUUUCUUUUGGCAUCAAUGAUCUUCAUGAUUUGCUUUGGAGCCUUUAAAGCUGUAAGUAAAUAUACCGGUUGGGCUGUGAGCACCGAUUUGACAAGUGUCAAACGCCCAGCUGCAGUCAUGUUUCGUGCAUUCCAGCUGUUAAGUUUCCCUAUUGCCUUGUCGACCAGGGGCUGGAAGUCUACCGUUUUAAGACGUGAUGUAGAUAGCGGUAUGCCAAGGUAUUUGGUUGGGAAAGUUCCGAGCUUGGCUGGCAUGUUCUGAAGUAUAUCCAUUAGCGCUAUCCCUUGACAACGAAUAGGUAAAGCUGUUGACUUUUGAAAAUUUGAUUUGAGCCCGGUCGCCUCGCCGAACAUAUUCAGUAUGUUCACUAGCGCAUCUAUCUCCGCUUUUCUUGGCGCAAUGAAUAGAGCCGCAUCAUCCGCAUACAUUGAGAUCCGACAUGAAGGCCCGCGGCCUCGUAGUUUGGAGAAUAUACCCAUUUCCGUUGCCAGGUGUAGUAGCCUUUGUAACGGGUCAAUUGCUAUGACGAAGAGGAGCGGUGAGAGGGGGUCGCCUUGACGUAGCCCCCUCCUGUGUUUUAGAGGUGGAUUUGGAACCCCAUUUAGUAUGACCCUAGAAGAAGACGUUGACAAUAUCGCCGCUAUCCAAUCCCUCCAGCGUGUCGAAAAACCAAGUCGUUGCAUUAAUGGAAGCAGAUAAUCCCACCUAACGGAGUCGAAAGCCUUUGCGAUGUCCAGUUUAAGGAAGAUGGCCUGUACUCCGUUGCGAUGGAAACGUCUCACUGUAUUGCGUACCGACAUAAAGUUGUCAUGUAUACUCCUCUUCUUGAUAAAAGCGCUCUGACAUGUAGAAACAAUGGCGUUCAUGUGUGGUUGGAGCCUUAGCGCCAGCGUUUUGGUGAUUAUUUUAAUGAAUGAGUGUAUCAAGCUAAUUGGUCUGAAAUCCUGGAUCGAGUCAGCCUCCUCUCUCUUUGGUAGUAGUACGAUGUUCGCCGAAUUAAUGAGGCCAAGGCUGUUACAUCGAAGUGAGUAAAAGGCGUUGAUGGCCGCCAUUACAUCUUGUUUGAUAACAUCCCAGCAUGAUUUGAGGAAAAGACCCGUGAAACCGUCCGGUCCCAGAGCUUUGUCUGCCGGCAAUUUGUCAAUAGCCCUUUUGAUUUCAUCCUCGGAGAAUGUUGCAUCAAGUGAGGACAGGUCAUGAUUGUUGAUCCCCAGGGUAUCCCAAUUUAAGUCUGCCCGUCGUGGUUGUGGCUGUUGCAUGGUUCGUGUAAAGAAUUUUUGUAUCUCUGCUGCUUUUUCUUCAUGUGUACAUGCCCAGCCGAUGUCCUUCUUUAACUUGUGGAUGAAGUUCCUACGACGCCUAGCGUUGACCCGUCGAUGGAAGAAACGCGUGUUUGCGUCGCCCAGCUUUAUAUUUUUUGUUCUACUGGCCUGAUUCCUACGUGCUCGUUCAAUGACAGCCAGCCCCAUGGCUCGAGAUUUUAGCCGGCUGCGCAGCAGCCGUUCGCCAUCGGAUAGGGGGCAAUGUUCCUGAGCUAUGUCCAAUCUCAAAAUGACCUCAAGGGCCAUGUACAAUUGCAUUUUCACGUCAGGUAUCAGAUGGUUAGACCAUUCCCGUAGUGCGACGGCCGUGUGAUGGAGCUUAUAAUAUAGGCGGUGGAAAGGCUCGACGUGUGGUGUCGGAGUGGCCCAAGCUCAUGCGACCGUGUCCCUAAAACCUGGCAGCUUCGUCCAGUAAUUCUCGAAUCUGAACGACUUUGGUCGUCUAGGACCACCUUGAUUGGAAAGAAGCAGUGGACAAUGGUCAGAGAGUGAAGUUGACAGCGCUUGAAGUGCAUGGUUGCUGAAAGCCUCUUCCCAUUGUACAUUUGCGAAAACUCUGUCAAGCCUAACCAAAGUGGGGUUUCUCCUCUCAUUACUCCAUGUAAAUUUUCUGUUGUUGAGGCGGAUCUCACGGAGGUCACAUGCAUCCAAGGCUUCUCUAAACAUGUUCAUAUGUCACCGGUUUAUUCUGUUAUUGUUUUUGUCGCUCGCUUUGUAAAUGAGAUUGAAGUCGCCAAGGACAAGCCAUUGGGAGUUAUUUUGCGGUUUUGUAGAUUGCAACUCGGCGAGAAAUUCGGCUUUCCUACUAGCGCUGGUCGGGCCAUACACUACCGUCAAGACAAAGGUGUUUAAAGAUUCUAACAUGGUGACUGUCGCCGUAAUGUGGUGUUGUCCUAUGAGCACGUUUGAUAGCUUGACAAAAUUAGCAUUCCAUAAAAGGAGAAUGCCUCCUCGCGUGCCGGAAAUACCCCCCGCUGGCUUGUAGCAGUAGUUGUCGAGCCUAUGCCCUCCCAAGUAAGCCGCUGUGAAUUGGUCAAUGUCAGCAAGUUUGGUUUCUUGAAGACACGCAAUAUGGCAUAAGGUGCCCGUAAUCAUUUCUCGGACUGUGUCUCUUCGUGCUCUUCUAUUUAGCCCCCUCACAUUCCAGCAUAGGAUCUCAAUAUUCAUUUGCACCAUGUUGGAACAGACGUAGAUCACGUUCGGUUAUGGCUACAGCGUACGUGCGUUGGCUCCGUGGUGAGCGCCGGCCGGUCAAUUUGGGGGGUGAGCGUUGCCUCGUCCCCAUUAGUUCGCUCAAGUGUGGCCGAAAGAGGCGCUGCAUCGUCUCGGCCGCUUGGGAAUAAAGUGCUGAACUUGACUGAAGUAGCACACACACACGUGAAUGAAGUAACAUAGAAGCUAAAUGGAGCAACAACAGUUCAGUAGAUGAAGCCCAACCAUGGCGUAGCUGUGGCUUUACAGUUACAACCCAGGUGAAGACAUAGUCUCUAGCGUUAACAAAAGAAGUGCAGCAACAACACGCGCUGCCCAUAAAAACUGAACUUGCAACUGACAUAAGGAAGUAGCAGACACUAGUUGAUACAAGGCAGGGCUGCUAAGCUGCUGCCUGAGGACCUUCUAUUUGUAGGGCAUCAACAGCUUCUUGGAUAUCCUGGAUUGCUUCUCCGGCCACCAUUGCCAUGGCUGCAUCAAGGGCUUCAGCUUGCUCAUCUUCCAGGUUAAAAGCCACCGUAAGCGCCGCAAUGACUUCUGGUGGAAGGGGGCCCUGGAACAUGGCGAGGUAUUCCUGUAGCGCGGCCUCCACAGGCUGCAGGUCGUCAUUCAGAAGACCAAGCUUGCGGCAUAAGUUGUGCUGUGCACGUUGCAUAACUGGCAUCGGACGUCUAGUAGAAAGACGUGCACUACGACAUACCAUUGACAUGUCGAAGACACGGCGAGAGCGGCGACGCUUUGUUGACCCCGGUUGUGCCUGCGGGGCUGGUUCUUGCCGCGGCAUCGGCGCGCUAUGGAGGGGCGGUUCCGGCCUGGUGAAGAGAGCCCCGAAGGAGGAUGCAUCUUGGUGCUCUGGUACAGGAAUGACAGGUUCCCCGUCGUUGAUGUGGCCACUGUCUUGAAUCCCAGGUGACCGCUGACCAGCUACCCCUCCCGCCGCCGGUGCAUGAACAGCACGGCCGGGUUCUGCCCCAGGCAGGGUGCGGCCGUCCUGCCCAGAAGUUGGCAUGCCUUGGCUGGCCACCUCCAGACGCAUAGACAUCCUGUGGAGUUCCUCAUCCACCUCCUGGAUGGAUGGGUUAUAGAGGGGAGGCAGUGCAGAAGUAAUUCUGUGAAAAACUUGCUGGAGGGGCACGUUCGGCUGGACGUGGUGCACUGGUACCUUUGAAGGGUUGUUCAUGUUGUCGCUGUAGUCGAACCAGGCUUCUUCCCCAAUGGCGUCGAUGAUGCUUGACGUCUUUCGGAAAAUGUCCAGAAGCGGUCGUGGCAUCGCUGCCGGAGAAUGGCGUCGCUGCAGGUUGAACAUCUUCUGCGCCGCCUCCGCCAUGGACUCAACCUGCAGAUCGUACAGCAGCUUGAAGUCCGUCGCCUUGCGGGUGUCCGCGCCCAGCGGGACUUCACCGUCCAAGUUCCGCCGCCUGCCACCUUGGUUGCCGUGGCCGCCGUGCCGACGUCGCGGCGAGCGGGAGCGCUCUCGACGCUGCACGUCAUGCGCCGCCCCUCUGGGGGGCCUGGGAUCAGCGUGUCCACGCCUCUCGCAGUGCCAGUCAUCGUAGUCGUCGUCGUCGUCAUCCCGCCGGCCGUGCCAGUCGUGGAAGUCGGGGUGGUCGUCGGGCCGCUCCCGCCGGCCACCGCCCCGGCGGUCGUGGCCCCUGCGCUCGUCGCGUCGUGGAGGAGGGGGGUGCUGGAACGGGGGGAAGGCCGGCGCCGGCUCCUGGUCGCCGUCGCGAACCCCCCAGUACCAGGACAGGCGCCGUUUCUCCGGCUCACCCACAGCCACGUCGGGAUCAUGCGGGUCAGUGGUGACGGCGGAGUAAUCGUGGAUUUCCCACAAAUGCACCAGGACCCGAUGCUUAAUCCCUCGUUGCCAGCGCUCAGGAGGGACCUCAUUGAUCUGCACGGAGGAGGACGAGCCAUCCAUAGAACAUGUGGUGAAAACAAGCCACAUUACCUUUGCAAUCUUGCUCGGGUCAGCCGUCCAUGCCCAAAGCUCGAUACCGCGCGUGUCUGACGGAUGGAGCAAGUUGGUGUCGAUGCAUUGGAGAGCGCAGUUCCGGCCAACGAGACGCUCGACGAUGUCCGGCAGCCAGGCGUGCCUCGGCACCCCGUCGAGACAGAUGCGGACGCGGUAGAAGAGCGCCGCGCCAAGAGCACCAGUGAGACUCCGCCAUGGCCUGACACAUACUUCAUUGCCACGGAAGUUGAUGUUACCUUUGGUGUUGACUUCUUUGCAGUGCCGGCGGUGCUGGAAGCGCAGCAGGAACGCCUCCGGGCGAUGCCUGGUGACCGAGACCUCGCCGGGGCGCAGCCGGAACUCCUCCAGGAUGGUGUCUUCAAUGUUUCUUGCGGUGGUGCUUGGUGGAACACGCAUGGCCCAGGUGACCAGCGCGUUCCCCUCCCAGUCCCGCAGCUCGUGGUCGAUCUCGAAGGAGGUGGGGAUGUGGAGCGUGUCUUCGCUCGGCUGCAGGGCCGGGUCGCCAACCCGUGCAGCCGCCAUCUUGAGGCAGGUCGGUGGUGGGCGCAGCUCCGGUCGGCGUGGCUGGCAUCGCGACGGGGGAGCAGCCUGUGAGCGCAGGACCGCUCGGCAGGAUCGUUGCUUGUGUCCCGAGCGGAAGCAGCGCAGACACCGGAUGGGGUCUCUGCACGCGCUAACCUUGUGGUCACGGCCGAGACACCUGAAGCAACACCCUUUUGUCUUCUGGAGGAAAGCAGAGUUCCCAGCAGUGGAGGAUUGGUGGUUGGCAAUGGAUGAGGAGAGCUUUGAAUGUCUGGCAGCACGGCCGCGGCUGGGGGUCGCAGGAAGAAGUUGCUGCUCACGCUCUUUCCGCUUACGCCGACUGACGCGGGUCCAUCCAGGCUCAGAGCCAGAGUGGAUGUCGCGUCGGAGACGCUGGUGCUCGGGGCUCGAGGGCGGGGGCCGGCGGGGGGGGGGAAGCCAUCACUCCUCUGGUUGGCUGAACAACGAGGUGUGGCGCCAGAGGGAGAUCCCUGGCGGAUCCUGUAGGAGUGAAUCCGCUGCUCGGGCCGCGUAGAGGCAUGGUGAUGCAGACGGCCAUAACUGCUCGGGUUGACACCCGGAGGACGACGGGGUUGGCGAGGGUAGUAACUGCUCCUUGGCGGGAUGGAGAUGGUGGAUUUGAGCUGGCGCGACCCUGGUUGUUGUGAGGUAGGCGGCGAGGUGAAGGCGGUCGCCCCCCGCCGUACCACUUCCGCGUAGGUUGGGGCCGGAUCUGGCGUGUUAGGGACGACGAGAUCCUCCCAGGAUCCGGCCCGGCAGGUGCGCGGCGGCGGGGGAGGAGGGGUUUCCCUCCAGUACAGAGGCGAGCGAGGGAAGGGCGGAGAGGAUCGGGCACCAGGUGCAGCAGGACGAAGAUCCAGAUCUGGAUCAGGCGAGCGCGAUUGGGAGAGGAGGCUGGACGCGAGGGGCAGCGGGGGUGGAGUGGCUGUAGCGGCGUUUGGGGUCUGCACGAGGACGCGGGCUGGCUGGCGGCGGAGGAGCUUGGGCGGCGCCGCCGGGGCUGGCGACGCCGGCGACGGGUGGCGGAGGGGCGUGCUAGGGGGGCGGGGGCGGGUCAUAGUGUCUUUCUAGGAGAUGUCAUUAUUUCCCUUCCACACUGAUCCAUGUUCCCACAAGAACAGGAUAUGAGGAUAUCUAUGGACGAUUAUCCGUGACCUGUGUCCCGGCACGAUCGUGCCUCGCCGAGGAUCGUACGUGUCCGAGACGUGUAGCACUGUUCGGUGUAGCACGAGCAGGUGAGGCCAUGGUGCCCGUCCCAUUCCGCGCGUUCGAUCCAGGCGCCUGGCUGGGCAGACGCGGCCCGCUCCGGGUCACACGAUCUCAUCUCCGGCGCGGUGAAUAUGUGCGCCAGAUAGCCUUAUUAGCCUCUCUCAACUGAUAUAUGCGCCGAGAGCGUCAUUACGUUCUUCGCCGAUCGAGAGUUCGAGACACACCGACACGGUGACCAGAAGCGAGCAGAGCCAAAGCGCUGCGGAACGACAAGACGGAGGCAGCUCGGGGAGCGGAGAUGGCGCGGCCGUUCCCGGCCAGGAGCGGCAACGACGAGGUCUCGGACAGGGCAGCGGCGACGGUUUUCGGCCUCGCCGCGGAGGCGGACCGGCCGGUGGACCCGGUGAUAUGGGGCGACGAGAAGCGGAUGAAGCGGGAGCUCGUGGCGUGAG